rnacentral:lncRNA from 1 species
AUGGUGAGGGCAAAGUUCUUGACCUCGGAUCCUGCUGGCUUUUGUCCAUGGGUGACUGACCAGCAAGGAAGUGUCCCUAGGCAGGGGCUGUGCUCACACAGGCAGGACUGUGUCCCCAGGGAAGCGGGUUCUCCUUUCCCCUUCCCAGCCCCUCACCUGGUAUUGCUGUCCCUCCAGGUGGCUGUGGAGGCCAGAAAGGACAAGAGGCACCUCUCCUGCGGUCAGAGACAGAAAGGCCAAGUCAGGAGCCCAGGUGGCCUGGGGAAUCCAGGAGACAUGAGGGAUGAUACCUCCUCCCUGUGCUUCUAUCCAUUGCUUCUCCAUCUCCCACACUUCUUCCACAGACUCCCACAGGUCAUUGGUGAACUUCUGGGCUUGCAGGUUCUUUUUCAGAUGCUACACAUCUUCAAAUGCCAAUCAAGCCAGAUCUUCUCUUGUCCUAUUCCAACAAAUACUUUUUUCCUGCCUCAAUGGGUAAGAGAUUCCUCUCUCUAGGUUCUAAUCUGAACAUACUUCUAGAAGUUUACCAAUAAACCAUGAGGUUCAUGAGGCCAGAAUGGGUCUUUGUCCACUUUUUGUCCCAAUGAUCAUCUAGACAAUACCUGACCAUGUAGGUGCUCAUGGAAGAACUUCUGAAUAAAAACACAUGGCUAAGCUAUAGCAACCACUGUCACAGACUCUCGGGCCAGAGUGAUAGUCACAGGUCUUGCUCUUCAAUAAGUGAAUACCAAAAGGCGGAUUCAGAUUUCUGGAGGUUUUACAGCUUAUCGAAAAGCAUUUUUAAAAACUAAAAAAGUACAAUUUUAGGUAAAAUUUAAAAAACUGUACUUGCCGCACUCAGCUGCUCCUGGUUUCUCCUCACUCUCUCUAUCUCUGGGGUCAUGCUGACUGGUGUGGCCUUAUAGUUUUGUUCUUUAUAAUGGAGCUAGGGGACAAGAUGGGAGGAAGGCUGGAGUUAUAAGAAAUGAACAUUACUGACACAUGGGAAUAGAUGGAAAGAAAUGUCACAUGGCCACAGAGCGGUCAUCAGUGGAAUAUCCACUAGGAUUUAACAAUGGAAUAUGGAUGGCAAAUAGAUUUCAUCUUCUCAGGGACACCAAUGGCUCAGCUUGUCCUUGUCAAAUGUUUAAAUGAUACCCUCCAUGGUUAUUUUUCAAACUGUAUCAUUUGUUGGUGGCCUCGCUGAGUUUGAGCUUAACUGUCAUAAAGAACUAUCCCCUCUGUGAAUUCCCUUCUUAGAAUUGAAGCAGUGUUUGUUAAAUUAUCAUUUUAUAUAUAAAAUAAUUUUUCUCCCUUAUCAUUGGGAAGAAGAGUUAGCUCUGCCUCCAACUCAGUAACACUUUAUCACUGUUAAAGAUACCAUGAAGCUCAGUGUUUCUCUAAGUUCCAGCCCUGGAGUGCCUGCCCUCUGACCCAGAAUUACGGACAUUCCCAGCCUAUGCACCGAGUGUCCUUUUUAGCUAAAGAGAAUCACACUCCGCGGUUUGUAGUUGGCUUUCCCAGAGAGUGAGAGAGUGGAGUGAGAAAGUGAUUCCACUUAGGAGCACUGGACCUGGAGAAAGAGAAUGGCAUGUGGCCAAGUCUGUCAAAUCAACUUAGAUGAGCAAAAGUAGAGCUACAGUCAAAGUCCCACUGCAAGGAACUUCGCAGGGACGAACACAAUCAUGGUUUUUUUUUUUAGAAUUUUUAGAAUUCAAACUUGAUGUUAAGGACUUGCAAAUAACAUGGACUUGAAAUGCAUGUUCUUAGUAGUAAAUAUGCAAAUGAAGAGAGGCCUGGAAAAUGAACAGGAAGGGAUGGGCUUCUUUCUAGGUAAGCUCCAUCUUGAAUGAGAGACUUGUGCAAUGGUAUGUCAAAUUUGAGAGACCAGGUAAAUUGUUUGCAGGUUUAUUUAUUUAGCUUAGGUGUACUCGAGAUUAAACUCAGUAUCUUCACACUGAGCUAUAUCCUCAGCCCUUUUUUUAAAUGUUUAAUUUAUUUUGAGACAAGGUCUCAAUAGGUCACUAAAUUGCCCAGACUGGGCUCAAACUUGCAAUUCGCCUGCAUCAGCCUCCCAGAGUUCUAGAAUUAUAGGCAUAAGCCAUGAUGCCCAGUUUAGAGAGAUUCUUGUUGUAAGGCUUGAUUCAAACACGACUCUCUCAGUACCUAACCUGUCUGCCAGCAGAGGUAUUGUUCUCAGCUCAGCAUCAGUGCUCUGGGCAAGCACAGGAGAGGAGAUGGAGCAUGGAAUCUUCCAAAACACCAAGAUAUCUGAAGACACCCAAACACUGACACUGGACACCCCAAGGGCACUGCCCACUGAGGCAUAAAACAUCCAGGGAAGUUUGACCAUUGAGCUUUACUGAGAUCCUCCCACCGAAUGUCCCUUUGCCUUCUUUCAAGCCCUAUUUAAAAAAAAAAGCCUGCUUCUCUUUGCUCCCUACAGAUGAACUUUUCGCCCUCUGUCUGCCUGCACUCGGGCACAAUGAAUUCCACACCAUGUUGCCUUUACACAAAUCCAGUAGUCUUAGCUAGUCUCUGCCUUGUGCCAUUCUUUACACUUGUGACUGAGAUGACUGAGUUAAAGUGAGGAGAAAUUUCAAUUUAAUCACUACUGGAAGCAAGAUACAAGGAAAGAUUUGUAUUGUGGCUUGUGUCUAGAUGUCCCCCCAAAGCCACAUGCAGUCAUAUGGCUUUUUCAGAGGUGGCUGAAUUUAGAGGGUGUAAUGGUAGGAUUAAGAGUAUGAUUACUAAAUCAGUCCACUGAUUGGUUUGGCCCUGCUCUAAUCCCAGAAGUCUGUAUAAGGUAAGUGGGGCAGAAAGAUGGUUUAAGGUCUCUUGUUAUUUUGCUGUCUUCUGCCAUUAUGAAUGGUUGCCCUUCUGCCAUGUGCCACCCUGCCUUGGAGCCACCCAGUUAUGAGCUGAAAGGUCUACAAACUUGAGCUAAAUAAACCUUUCCUCCCUCAACUUCAGGUGUUGAGCAUAUUUGUCUCAGUAAUGAGAAAAGCAGCUAAGACAAUUCUCUAGUGAGAACCCAGAAGGAGAAAACUUGAAUGGCAUCACUGAUAGCGAAAAUCUUGUAACCAGUUUUUAGCAGAUAUAAACCUGGGGCCAUCAAUUUGAAAGACAGAAUCUUCAUAUCAUGCAAUACUCCACUCACAGACCCCUACAGGAAAUGUCUCUUUCACACUCUAAGCCCUGUUUU